rnacentral:rRNA from 1 species
AUUGAACGCUGGCGGUAUGCUUAACACAUGCAAGUCGAACGGUAGGUACUUCGGUACUGAGAGUGGCGGACGGGCGAGUAACGCGUAGGAAUCUGCCCUGUAGUGGGGGACAACGUGGGGAAACCCACGCUAAUACCGCAUACGCCCCAAGGGGGAAAGCGGGGGUCCGUAAGGCCUCGCGCUAUAGGAUGAGCCUGCGUUGGAUUAGCUAGUUGGUAGGGUAAAUGCCUACCAAGGCGACGAUCCAUAGCUGGUCUGAGAGGACGAUCAGCCACACUGGGACUGAGACACGGCCCAGACUCCUACGGGAGGCAGCAGUGGGGAAUAUUGGACAAUGGGCGCAAGCCUGAUCCAGCAAUACCGCGUGUGUGAAGGAGGCCUGAGGGUUGUAAAGCACUUUCAAUGGGGAGGAAAAAGCACGGGCGAAUACCCUGUACCUUGACAUUACCCAUACAAGAAGCACCGGCUAACUCCGUGCCAGCCGCCGCCGUAAAAC